CUACCAUGCAGCCGAGCGGUAGAGAUUCUUCGGAAUCUUGAGAGCGGCGUACGGGUGCGGAACACGUGUGCAACCUGCCUUUAUCAGGGGGAUAGCCUUUCGAAAGGAAGAUUAAUACCCCAUAAUAUAUUAGAUGGCAUCAUUUAAUAUUGAAAACUCCGGUGGAUAGAGAUGGGCACGCGCAAGAUUAGAUAGUUGGUAGGGUAACGGCCUACCAAGUCAGUGAUCUUUAGGGGGCCUGAGAGGGUGAUCCCCCACACUGGUACUGAGACACGGACCAGACUCCUACGGGAGGCAGCAGUGAGGAAUAUUGGACAAUGGGUGAGAGCCUGAUCCAGCCAUCCCGCGUGAAGGACGACGGCCCUAUGGGUUGUAAACUUCUUUUGUAUAGGGAUAAACCUAGAUACGUGUAUCUAGCUGAAGGUACUAUACGAAUAAGCACCGGCUAACUCCGUGCCAGCAGCCGCGGUAAUACGGAGGGUGCAAGCGUUAUCCGGAUUUAUUGGGUUUAAAGGGUCCGUAGGCGGAUCUGUAAGUCAGUGGUGAAAUCUCAUAGCUUAACUAUGAAACUGCCAUUGAUACUGCAGGUCUUGAGUAAGGUAGAAGUAGCUGGAAUAAGUAGUGUAGCGGUGAAAUGCAUAGAUAUUACUUAGAACACCAAUUGCGAAGGCAGGUUACUAUGUCUUAACUGACGCUGAUGGACGAAAGCGUGGGGAGCGAACAGGAUUAGAUACCCUGGUAGUCCACGCCGUAAACGAUGCUAACUCGUUUUUGGGUUUUCGGAUUCAGAGACUAAGCGAAAGUGAUAAGUUAGCCACCUGGGGAGUACGUUCGCAAGAAUGAAACUCAAAGGAAUUGACGGGGGCCCGCACAAGCGGUGGAUUAUGUGGUUUAAUUCGAUGAUACGCGAGGAACCUUACCAAGACUUAAAUGGGAAAUGACAGAUUUAGAAAUAGAUCCUUCUUCGGACAUUUUUCAAGGUGCUGCAUGGUUGUCGUCAGCUCGUGCCGUGAGGUGUUAGGUUAAGUCCUGCAACGAGCGCAACCCCUGUCACUAGUUGCCAUCAUUCAGUUGGGGACUCUAGUGAGACUGCCUACGCAAGUAGAGAGGAAGGUGGGGAUGACGUCAAAUCAUCACGGCCCUUACGUCUUGGGCCACACACGUAAUACAAUGGCCGGUACAGAGGGCAGCUACACAGCGAUGUGAUGCAAAUCUCGAAAGCCGGUCUCAGUUCGGAUUGGAGUCUGCAACUCGACUCUAUGAAGCUGGAAUCGCUAGUAAUCGCGCAUCAGCCAUGGCGCGGUGAAUACGUUCCCGGGCCUUGUACACACCGCCCGUCAAGCCAUGGAAGUCUGGGGUACCUGAAGUCGGUGACCGUAACAG
rnacentral:rRNA from 1 species